AUGGCUGUCGUCAGCUCGUGUCGUGAGAUGUUGGGUUAAGUCCCGCAACGAGCGCAACCCACGUCUUUAGUUGCCAGCAUUCAGUUGGGCACUCUAGAGAGACCGCCGGUGAUAAACCGGAGGAAGGUGUGGAUGACGUCAAGUCAUCAUGCCCCUUACAUCCUGGGCUACACACGUACUACAAUGCUACGGACAAAGGGCAGCAAACUCGCGAGAGCUAGCAAAUCCCAUAAACCGUGGCUCAGUUCAGAUCGUAGGCUGCAACUCGCCUACGUGAAGGAGGAAUCGCUAGUAAUCGCAGGUCAGCAUACUGCGGUGAAUACGUUCCCGGGCCUUGUACACACCGCCCGUCACACCAUGGAAGUUGGCCAUGCCCGAAGUCGUUACUCCAACCCGCAAGGGAGGAGGACGCCGAAGGUGGGGCUGAUGACUGGGGAGAAGUCGUAACAAGGGAGCCGUACCGGAAGGUGCGGCUGGAUCACCUCCUAAC
rnacentral:rRNA from 1 species